rnacentral:rRNA from 1 species
ACUGCUCAGUAACACGUGGAUAACCUACCCUAAGGUGGGAGAUAACCCCGGGAAACUGGGGAUAAUACCCCAUAGUCUAUGGAAGCUGGAAUGCUCUAUAGUUGAAAGAUUUAUCGCCUUAGGAUGGGUCUGCGGCCGAUUAGGUAGUUGUUGGGGUAACGGCCCAGCAAGCCUUUGAUCGGUACGGGUUGUGGGAGCAAGAGCCCGGAGAUGGAUUCUGAGACACGAAUCCAGGCCCUACGGGGCGCAGCAGGCGCGAAAACUUUACAAUGCGGGAAACCGUGAUAAGGGAACUCCGAGUGCCCGUAAACGCGGGCUGUCCAUCUGCUUAAAAAACAGGUGAAGAAAGGGCCGGGCAAGACCGGUGCCAGCCGCCGCGGUAAUACCGGCGGCUCGAGUGGUGGCCACUAUUACUGGGCUUAAAGCGUCCGUAGCUUGGUUGUUAAGUCUCUUGGGAAAUCUGUCGGCUUAACCGACAGGCGUUUAAGGGAUACUGGCAAUCUAGGGACCGGGAGAGGUGAGAGGUACUCCAGGGGUAGGAGUGAAAUCCUGUAAUCCUUGGGGGACCACCUGUGGCGUAGGCGUCUCACCAGAACGGCUCCGACAGUGAGGGACGAAAGCUGGGGGAGCAAACCGGAUUAGAUACCCGGGUAGUCCCAGCCGUAAACGAUGCGCGUUAGGUGUAUCGGUGACCACGAGUCACCGAGGUGCCGAAGGGAAACCGUGAAACGUGCCGCCUGGGAAGUACGGUCGCAAGGCUGAAACUUAAAGGAAUUGGCGGGGGAGCAC